rnacentral:rRNA from 1 species
AUUGAACGCUGGCGGCAGGCCUAACACAUGCAAGUCGAGCGGAUGACCGGAGCUUGCUCCUUGAUUCAGCGGCGGACGGGUGAGUAAUGCCUAGGAAUCUGCCUGGUAGUGGUGGACAACGAUUCGAAAGGAACGCUAAUACCGCAUACGUCCUACGGGAGAAAGCUGGGGACCUUCGGGCCUUGCGCUAUCAGAUGAGCCUAGGUCGGAUUAGCUUGUUGGUGAGGUAAUGGCUCACCAAGGCGACGAUCCGUAACUGGUCUGAGAGGAUGAUCAGUCACACUGGAACUGAGACACGGUCCAGACUCCUACGGGAGGCAGCAGUGGGGAAUAUUGGACAAUGGGCGAAAGCCUGAUCCAGCCAUGCCGCGUGUGUGAAGAAGGUCUUCGGAGUGUAAAGCACUUUAAGUUGGGAGGAAGGGUUGUAGAUUAAUACUCUGCAAUUUUGACGUUACCGACAGAAUAAGCACCGGCUAACUCUGUG